GACCCGGUGGUGAAAAUGUUAUCACAACCCGCUCCUGUUAUGGGCGCAUUCGGGUUCAGGUGGGAGUCCCUUGUUCGAAUCAAGGCCGGGUCA